rnacentral:lncRNA from 1 species
UCGAAAUCACUCCAUAAAAUUAAACCCUAGCUAGAAAGGAAGAGUGGUUGUAUUCUUUGGCGGUGAAAGAGAGAAAGAGAUUGAAGUUGUGGAGGAAGGUUAAGAAAUAAGAAGAAGAAGUCGGAAGGGAGGGAACUGCCACCAUCGACUUGGUCAUCGGCCUAAACUCUCAUUGGAAGCAUAGGUAUAGGGAACGAGGUAGAGAGAAUUAGAGAGAGGAAUAAAUGACAUGUAGAAAACGACUGUGUAGUGGGUAUGAAGGUUGUUUAAAAACUCAUAAUUUCAUAGUUGUUCUCUGACGAAGAUAUUAACCAAGAACAACUCAUAAGUGUGGGUGUCAUGUUUAAGAUUUAUGCAUGAGGAAGGAAAACACAACAAAAGAAGAAGUGCAGAGGACACCGAAGAUGGAGAAUAUGAGUGCUAGACAGAGAGACAGAGAGCCAACAUAAAAGGUUCAAAGUGAUGGUCUGAGCUCUUCACCAUUGUUUAUGGCCUACUCAUGUGGGUUUUACACCAACAUAGCUUUUGAGGAGUUGCUACCACCACUUUCAGUACCGGUCUCGUGAGGGUCCUCCAAUGAUGUUGGGUCAACUCAUCAUCACCGGAGUUGGAAGCACCACUGGAGAAAUGGGUUAGUUGAAGUUUCCAUGGGGAGGGGAGGGUUGUACGACAUGGAUGAAGUGAGGUACCUCCCUUUGAGCUUAUUUGACCUUUUCAUUUAAAUGAGUUGGACGUUGGGCUAUGCAGUAAAUCCUAGUGGGCCUUGUUUUAAAUUAAAUAAAAGUUACCCCAUCCUGAUUAAUGUGUUGGGCCAUUUUAGCUUCAUGUUACAAUUCAUUGAUAUCUUUGGUGAUGCUAUGUCGAUUCGUAUAUGUAUCAUCUAAUUUUAGAGAAAUAAAUAUAUUUUGACUAAAUGAUUUUAGUUAAUUAUCUAGUUUAUAGAUUUGGCUUACGAAUGUAUUUUAUAAAUAAAAUAUGAAUAUAAUUGAAUUAAGGUGUAUUAUUAAGUAAUAUUUGAAUUGUGAACUAAGUAAAGAUUAUUUAUAUGGCUCUAGGAGUUCAGAGAUCUGGAAACCCAUUUUAGCCACUUUAGUGGUCCUUAUCCUACGAUUGCUGCUUCAGGUGAGUUUCCCUCAUUGUACUUGUAGGUCGAGGGCACCAAUAUCGGCCUAAUGGAUUAUGUAUCCUAGUAUAUUGGAUGAUGUUAUGUUGGCUAUAUGAUAGAAUGGUGGAUCUAUAUGAUUACCUGUAUCCCCUGGUUACGUGUUAGACUAGUAGAUCUAUAUGAUUACGUGUACUUGUUGGUUAUUAAUUGUUAUUGUAUAUGUCGACAUUUUAUGGUUUGUUCGGUUGAGGUGGUCCUACUUUGUGUUGAAGGCCAAGAUACCCAGGGUGGUAUGUUAGGUUGUAGGCCCAAUGAGGCGGUUCAGUCAGCCUGAAUGCCCAAAGAGCGGUCUGGAUAGGUUGAAGGCCCUGCAAGGUGGUCCAGUCAGGCCAAAGACUCGAAGAGCGGUUCAGAUAGGUUGAAGGCCCUACGAGGCGGUCCAUUCAGGCCGAAGGCUUUGAGAGCAGUCCAGAUAGACUAUAGGCCCUGCAAGGCGGUCUAGUAAUGUUGAAGGCUCUUAUAUGCAUGAUGCUGUUUGUUUGGUAGUGUGUGGUACUUUUGGGGAACUCACUAAGCUUUUGCUUACAGUUUGAAUUUAUAGUUUCAAGUACUUAAGAGGAUAUGGGCAAGGUGAAGGCUUGAUCGAGCACAUCAUCUUGGACUUUAUGAGAUUAUGAUUUUGGGAUACUCUGAUUCAUAUUUAUGACAUUUGGAAACUAUGUUUUGUAAACACUUUUGGUUUUGGAUUGGUUUCAAAAAUGAAAAUUUUACCUUAAUUUUUGGGAUGCUACAAGUUGGUAUCAGAGCCCUGGUUUGAGAGAAUUGGAUGAACACUUGUGUGAUUCCAGACUCAAACAAAGGAUCUGCAAAAUAUAUUUCAAAAAUUAACUCUAAAUAGACCAAAAAAAAGGAUGCAAUUUGUACAAUCAGCUGGAGCCAAGGAAAGUGUUCCCCAAGAUACCCAUACUUCUUUUGUGUAUUGAUGAUAUGAUAUAACUGAAUGCUAGUUGUUGGCUAAGGAUCUUUAGGGAUUCAUGAUAGAAUUUCCUGAUUCAUGAUGCAUGGUAGUCUAGGAUAAUUUCUUGAUAUGAUAUAUGGAACUGACAUUAUUAUUGUGGUUGCUUAGUAUAUGCAUCAUAAUUAUACAUAACCAAGAUUUUAUACCCUAAGAAUGUUUGAUUUAGACUUAUUUUAUGUUCCUUGUCUGUUUGUGGGCUUAGGUUAGAAUCAAGUAUUCAACUGUAUAUCGAAUCUAUUUUUAUGUAUUAUUAGCAUACAUGAGCUGUUGCAUGGUUAGUGGAAGUUUAAUGAGUGGGUGUGGUUUGUAAUAGGCCAAUGUGAGGCAAAAUUAGCCAUGAAAGAGGGAGAGAGAGAGAUAGUAAGUAUAGGAUGUAUGUGUAUUCUAGGAAGUGCUUCAGUAUGAAUGGUGUACUGUUUAGCGGGUUUUUAGGAGUAUCAGCAUGAGUAGUUACUUAGAGGAUACGAAGUGAUUCUUAAGGAAAGUGUGGAUAGGCUUGGAAGGUAGUAUUGGGCCCGUACUAGUGAAAGCACAGGAUAUGUACUAGAAUCAAGGAAAAUUUCAGGGAUUCUAAGGAGCUAGUUGAGGGUAGAUUGUAUGGUUUGGCACCAUGAUUCAUUGCAAUGUAUUUUUGUCUUAUUCGGUUUAUCGGUUAUGGAUGUUUAGGCUGAGGAUAGAUCUAGUGAUUGUUUGGUCCUUAGUGGCCAUGUCAGUUUGGGUUUGAAUGGUGUUGACCAAGGUGAGCUAGUUGGUUUUGAGGUCUCGAGGUCCUUACUCGAGGUAGUCCCAGUUAAGUCGUGGUGCUCAAGAAGGAAGCGGUUGUUAUGGUCAGGUCGAGGAUUGCAGUCGGAGGACAAGUGACUGGAAGGUGGAUUGGGAUGUCACUAUCUAUGACGGGAUUUACGUUCUUCCAGCUUUCCGAAUUCGGAGGAAAGAGAGAGCAAACAUGGAUUUCUAAAGUUGAGGUAUAGACCCGGCAUGGGGCUAAAUAUUUUCGAUUAUGGAAGCAAGUAUGGAAGUAUGGGAAUGAACAAGAGGAUUCUUGUGGUAUGGAUUCCUUGAGAUGACGUCAAGGGUCAUCUUUCUUUGAAUAUAGGUAGGUCAUGUGCUAGUUGAUUAUUUCAGGUGGUUAGGGAAGUGAAACGGGAACAAUAACAUUUGUUGUCGCAGAUGUAUCCUGACUAUGAGAAUGAUGCCUCUAGUAUAUAUGAGUGAUCCUCGCGAUGAAAUGAUGGUUGGGGAUUUGUAGACAAGGUGUGUGGUAGUUUAUUUGUUUAUAGAUAAAGAAUGGGUGCUAUGAAUGGACUUUCAGAAUUACUGCUUGUGCAUCUGCAUGGGAUUCUUGAUAUUAGAGGCGGUUAUACAUGGGAAGUUUUUGGGGUAUCCAUCUGAGAUUCAUAAUCUCUUUGAGUUUGCUUGGUCUUUAUCUAGAACAUCAUCUUGCGUUGUUCUAUACAUUCCAAUGGUUAGGGAUUAUAUACCUGGUUGAUUCGGAUUGAGCUUUGGUCUAUUUGCAAGGAAGCUUAUAAGUGCGGGUGUCGUGUUCAAGAUUUACGCAUGAGGAAGGAAAACACAAUGAAAGAAGAAGUGUAGAGGAAAUCAAAGAUGGAGAAUAUAAGUGCUAGACUGAGAGAGAGCCAACAGAAAAGGUUCAAAGUGGUGGUCUGAGCUCUUUACCACUAUUUUUGGUCUACUCAGAUGGGUUUUAUACCAACAAGCUUUUAAGGAGUUGCUACUACCACUUUCAGUACUGGUCUUGUGAGGGCCCACCGAUGAUGCUGGGUCGAAUCGUCAUCACCAGAGUUGGAAGCAUCGCCUGAGAAAUGGGUUAGCCAUAGAAGAAGGAGUCGCUGCCAUGUGGAGGGGAGGAUUGUAUAACAUCGAUGAAGUGAGGUACCUCCCUUUAACUUUAUUUUAUUUUUUCAUUUAAAUGGGUUGGACGUUGGGCUAUGUAAUAAAUCCUGGUGGGCCUUGUUUUAAAUUAAAUGAAAGUUAGCCCAUCCUUAUUAUUGUGUUGGGCCAUUUUAGCUUCAUGUUACAAUUCAUUGAUAUCUUUGGCGAAGCAAUGUCGAUUCAUAUAUGUGAUGGGUUUUGGUCAUAAGACAUCCUAUGUGCUCAUACAAACCCUAAUGCUUGGAUCUAGGUUUCUCUAUUGUACAUGCUUUGAAUCCAAGACUAUAAACCCUAAUUCUAGCAUAUGGAAAUCAAUAUUAACAUAUAAUUAGGUUUAUGAUAUUACCUUGAUUGUUAUGUAGCAAUAACAAUCCCAAUUCCUCAUUGAAUUGACUUUGGAAGGCUUAGAGUCACAAGUGUCACUCCUCUAAUGGUUUACAAACACCAUAAGCAAGUGGAGAAGGUAUAAAGAGAGAGGAGAGGUGUUAGAAUUCGUCUCUAGGACUUCUUGGGAAGGGUUGGACGAAUUCAUGAGCCUUAGGGGGUUUAUAUAGGUGUAAAGAUUAGGGUUUUAGUCCUUAUCCUUAUCUAGUUGCUUGCCCACCAAGCAACCAUAAGAUAAGUCUUAGAAACCCUUAUCCUAGUCGAAUUCUAAGGCAUUAUCUCCUUAAAUUCGUUCACCCUAUAUUUAAGAUAAUCCUUACCUUAUUUUGUAACUAUCACAUAAUUACAAUUCAGCCCCUCUAGUUUAAUUAAUUACACUUGAUCACAAAAUUAAUUCUUAAUUAAUUAUUGACCAAUAUUAAUUAAACAAAUAUGAUUUCUCCUUUAAUAUAUUAUUCUUAUAACAUAUUAAUAAAUCAUAAUAACCUCUCUCUCUAUUUAUUUCUCCAAUCAAGUUGCUUUGGUGAAGGCAACCCAAAAGGACCAUGCACCAUCGGGUCAAGUACAUACCAAAAUAGUUAUGGACUUAGACACUAAUCCAACAGUCUCCCACUUGGAUAAGUCUAAUAACUAUUCUGCGUAUGACUUCAGAUCCUGAUCUGCAAUCGUAGCUUUCCAAAGCCGCUGUCAACUCUGAUCCUAUCAGAUACGCGUGUCCUUAGAUAAGGGAUCAUAUAUUCCUCCAUUCUAGAUAUCAUAUGAGAUAUGAUUUCAAAUCAUUCUCUUUGUACUAUAUCUCGAUUUCUGAUUUAUGACGACUGACUAAUUGAACAAAUCAAAUUAGCCCUAGCCCGGCCGAGCAUUUACGUUUGUCAUCACUAAACCAUCGAGGGGCCCAAAGAUAUCGCUUUUAUCCUACUUUGGAUAAAAGGAACGGAUAAACUUUGAUACAAUGCUUGCUUGUACUCACGCACCGAAUCACACACAACAAUAUGUUUUAUAACACCAAGUUACUGGUGCGUUUACAUAUUAUCAAUGUGCAACCGAUUUGCAAGAUACAACUCACACAUCUCGGUUUCAAGAAUAUAAGAUGUUAUCGUCUCACCAAUCACUCGUGAUACAAUUCAUGGAGUGAUCCAAGUGAGCGUGGGUUUAAUCCAAUGCUCAAAUCAUAUUCAUAAGCACUCAUGAACGUUGCAGCAAACAUUUGCUUAUGUCUAAUACUCUUUUAGACAAUCCACACACCAAUUCACGACAGUCUUCAUUCAUAUCUACUUCCAACAUAUGAACGACUGUGGCCCGUUCGAAUAAUUCGAUUAUUCUUAAUAAACUCAAUUAUUCUGGAAGUCAAAACAUGCAAAUGUGAAACACAAGAAUAAUACUAAUCCCAUAUGGCCUCAAACCUUUGAGUAUAAAUAAAACACCUUUUAUUUAUCACCAUAUUGAUUACUCAUUAUUUGUCGUUUCGGGUAAUCAACUUCUUACUUGAAUUACAACACUUGUCCCAUGCUCCUAGCAUGCACACAAUGUUUACCUAUGGUUCUUACUUUGUGAAAUAGAUCACAUUGAACACAUUUCCAAUCAUUCUCAUUUCACAACUCCAAAUCCUUUUUAUAAGUGAAAGAAUAUCAAAUUCUUGCUACUUAUAGAAUAUGCUAGAUUCUAACAUUCUAUGCAACUUAUCCUUUCGUAAUGUCACUGCACCAAAGUCACAAAGACUAUUGCCAAUGAUAUUACAAAGUCCUCUAUCGGAGAUUGUUACAAGACAAUUCCAUAGAUGUGAUGUCUCUCACUCAAAGUACAUUCUUUGAACAUCCUUUUGCAUAGAAGUUUCUAAUCUAGUCAUAGAUUUCUCAAUAUUCAAUUCCCAAUAUGGACACACUUCCAUAUGUUCCAUAUGACAACUCAUUCUUAAUAGAAUCUUAUCUAUUCGUAAUGAUGUCGAUAUGGUCCAUCCAAUAUGGAAACAUUUCCAUAUUUUCCAAUACUAUACUUCCAACUACUCACAAGCGACCAAUCCUCGUCGAACUUUGGAUUGUCCUUUGAUAGUUGUUUAAUUAUUUUAGUCAAAACCGAUUCUAGUCCUUUUUCCCUCUAAAUGCGCUAGACAUUUGGAAAAUUUUAGAAUGGUCAAACAUUAAAGCAUUUGCAAUCGAUCCUAUACCCGAAGCGUAUGGGACACGACGCAUAAUGUUUUAUUUGCUAUGUUCUCAAAAUUCGAAUUGUGAAGAGGGAUGCCGUAAUCAUAAUCGAAAUUUUAAGAACACACUUUGUACCUUUGACUAAAUUUUAUUAACAUUUCUCAACCUAAACCUUUAGAUUUGAAAUGAAGCAUAAUAUUCUCUCCCUUAAUUAUAGCAAAACAACUCUUCAACUAUUGCGACUUUGCAAAGUAUGACUCUUGUUUUCUAUAAUUAAUAUUGCUAACCUUGCAAUACUUUCCUUAAUAAUCAUACAAUCAUAACUUUUAUGCUCCCACUAUCUUGAUGAUUAUUAUAAAACAUAACACUUAUGCUCCCACUAGCUUCGACAUGUAUUCAUAAACAUCUUAACUUUCAGAAAAAAAAUGCUUAUUGAAUUUCUUAAGUUCAUGUUUCUAAUACUUAGUGCUUUGAUAAUCUUUUAUCAAGGCUUCUUGAACUUAUACACCUUUGCCUUCGAUAGUUCAUAUGUGUGUCUAAACAAUUAAGACUAAUUGCCAAACCUCACAAUUCAAAUUAUGGAAAGGGAUGCCGUAACCAUAAUUGAAUUCGAGAAUGCAAUUUUACAAUCACUAUCUUCUUAAAAUCUGUCUUAGUGAAAGCAUUUCCUCACAAUCAUUUUCAUGAAGGAGGAAAUCUUAUGACACUUAGAUUUAAACGGUGUAUUUGUUCCUAUCCAUGUGAAUUUGUCAAAACCAAAGUUUACGACAAAUUCAAACUCUUAUGGAUCGAACUUUCUUGAUCUCGAUUUCUUGCCUUUAUGGUAGCACAGCUGCCCACCAUGUCUUCCAAGUAGUUAAGCAGCUCACCCUUUCCUAUCAAUGUACCUUUCAUUGAUUAAGGUGCUUUGCCUUUUAUGCGUUCAAAAUGAGAACUCAUAGAACUCACAUGCAUAAUUAACUCGAUUGGAUUGGCACAGAAUCAAAAUAAUGUCAACACGAUAGGUUGUAAACCUCAACUCGUGUGCUAGUGAUGAUCGAUAAGGUUUAUUUGAUUUGUUCUUGAAACCUUUCAAGACCAUUAAGACUCCCACUGACUCCUUGACAUAUAAGAUUCUCUUGUCAAAAAACAUUUCUUGACAAACAAAUAUUCAAGAGUUAGUGUAGCUUUUAUCAAAACACUUCAUAAAUUGGUCCUAGUUGGUCUUUGUCUUAUCCAAGACAUCACAACUUUCCACAUUUAAUGAAUGUUAUAAACCUUCUUAAUACUUUUCACUCAAUGUCACAAUCUUAACUUUAAGACUUGUUAUUGGAACGAAGUAUGAUUGACUUAUUGAUUUAACCAUUUCUUCAAUUCUUGAUUCCUCUUCUUAGACAUACAAUUGUACUAAGACUCACUUAGAGGAUCAAUUGAGAUAUGGUUCUUAAUCAUUAAGACCUAUCAUAAAGCAUAAAAGGUACUCUCCCUUCUUCUUAGAAUGGAGAAACUUUUAUCUUUCUGCCUACUUGAUUCUUCUUAUUCGUUCUGCUAUUGAUUUAAACCUUUUCAAUCAAUUCAGAAUUACACUUAAUCUUAUAAGUAUAAUCAUAUUUACUAAACCUUUAGUAAAUCAUGACGAAUAUCUUUGUUACUCUUAUGGUGGACUUGAUCAACACGCAACUUUGUGUACUCGAUCUCCUAGUCCUUCACUUGACACUUUGUCAAUGAAUUAGUCUAAUUUCCAAAUAUGAAAUUUCUCAUUCAUCGUGCAACCAAGUUGCAUGAUUCCAAGUUUCUGUCCAAUUGAAACUUGGGCGAUGAGAAACUCUCCCUAUUUGGUAAAUUCUCGACUUUCCAUAAAUAACAUAAUAAGAACCAAAUCCAUUAUUGCUAAUAAUAGAAACAUUUUAACAUCAAUUUUUCAUACACGCCAUUGUAAGGAUAAAUAAAUAAAAUUUAAAAUCAAAAUUUAUUUUAUUGCGGAAAAAUUUGUCCUUACAAUGCAAUUCAUUGAAAAACUUAUGCUAAUACAUCUUUCUUAGCAAUCUAAUUCUAACUCUAAGUAGUAGCUCAAGAAUCUAAUCUUCGAGAAAUGCGAUCGAAAUCCAUUCCUUCACGGUUAGAUUCUGCUCACUUCUUCCCUUAAGCUUCCUUUCUUUUCUUCGAUCCUACAAAACAUCAAUUGUAAUCUUAUCACAUUAUGUAUUAAGAAUCUAGAAUAGAAGCUUAAAAGAGUUAGUUAAUGGAUUUUACCUAUAUUAGAGCCAUACGUUUCGACUCUCCCAUCUCUUAGAUCUCUUAGGUAAAUGGGGCAGCUUCGUCUCCAAUGCCCCUUCUCUUGGCAAUAAAAGCAAAUCGACUCUUUUGGAACAGGACAUGGAACUACUUCAGACAUCGCCUUUCUCUUAUGAUCAAACUUUUCGAUCAUAGCAUGUCUUUCGUUGCCAUUGUCUAUAUCCAUAGAGGUCUUGAAGGCAGAUUCACCAAUCAACUUUGCUUUUCUAUUGCGCCAAACCAUUGCUGAUUCAGCAACAAUAAGCAUAUAGGUGAGAUCUAUAAGGGUCACGUCGUAGUUCAUCAUAUAGUACUCUCUUACGAACUCACUAUAUGAGUUGGGAAGUGACUGAAGAACCCAAUCAACAGCCAUUUCCUCACAGACAACGGAUCCCAACAUUCUUAACCUAUCAAUGUGUGACUUCAUCCCUAGGACGUGUGCACACACCGACUUUCCUUCUUUAUGUUUACUUGCCAAAAGGGCUUGAGUGAUCUUGAACUUUUCAAGCCUUUGAACUUGUGGGUUAGGGAGAAUAAUUGGAGGAGGUGGAGGAAGUGAAGCAUGAUUUCUUGUUCCUCGAUCGAAUCGUGGAAUAUCAUCUUCAUGUGGAAUGCUUGUUCCACGGGAUUUGGGAAGACCAUAGUUGUCGAACUUUGACAUCUACAAAACGGGAGAAAACGAAUUCAAGUUAGUUGAUUGAUUGAGUCCUUAGUAAAUCACCCAAAUGAGAUACUAAGGCUAGGACCCAACACAAUAUUCUACAACUCGGGAGAGGGAUGCCGUAACCCAAAUUGCAGAACAUUUGAAGGUAAGUGAAUGACGAUUCACUAAUUUCCACCAUGAAAAACGAAAAAGAAAUUUAAGUUUUAAAUCUAUGAAAACUCCUAGAUCCUUUGAGAUUCAUUGAACAUUUCAAUGGCAUGUUUAAAUCUCGAUAUGCCCCUCUUGUUUGUGACUGGGAUGCCGAGGAUCACAAAGCGGGUGUGAAUAACCAUGCAAACUUACAUGGUGCCCUCACAUGUUACAGUCACCUAUUCGAUGUGCCGGUAAACCACACACGCUCCACCGAACUAUGACAAACAUUGAGUCACCCUUUGCUACCUUUGCUUAGAACCAUUUAGUGUGCCGGUAAACCACACACGCUCCACUAACGUCUUCGCAAGGGCACAAAGUGUAAUUUCAUGGAAUUGCAUCAAUUCACUUUUGCCUAAGUAACUAAGAUUGGGAAUUUUAUGAAAACAUUUAGUUACUUUUAUACUUCAUUAUACUUAUAAUGGAAGGUUUCGUCCUAUCCUACCCGUUCGGCUAACGACCCUCCACUAGUCAAGAGUGCGGUGGGUAAGAGUGGAUACCCAUUCAAUCGCCAUUUUAUAGGCAAUUUCCUUAAACACCCCUUAUAGACCAGCUUCGUGAAUGAGGCCUACUAACGGUAAGACUGACUUUUACUCAUACAUAUAUAUAAUGUUAGACUUUUAAUGUUAUAUAUAGUAUAGGGUGUAUUUUACACUUUUAAAAUACUAGGUGGUCAAAUUUAACAAUUAUACUUUUAAUUCAAUUAAAUUGUAAACCUAAACUUUUAUGGAUUUAUUAAACCUCUUUUAAUUAUACACCUUAAUUAAUUAAUAAAACCAUAAGGGUGUGAUUUGAACUUUUUCAAAACUAUACUAGAGUUUUAGAAUUUAACAUUCCUAAUUAAACUUUUAAUCAACUUUUAAAUUCCAAAACUUGAGGGCAAGUUUUGAAACAUUUCAACACAUUAGGGUUUAGAAUUUAAAUAUACAUCAAAAUUAAACUAUUUAAUCAAAAUUUAAAUUCCAAAACUUGAGGGCAAGUUUUGAAACCUUUUUCAAAACAUUAGGGUUUCAACUAUUUAAAUUUCAAAACAACAAAACUUUUGGGUUCAAAUUUAAACUAUAAAACCUAAAGGGGAAAAUAUGAAACUUUUCAUAACAACAAGGAUCAAAUAACAAAUAAUCUAAAUUAACAUUUAAUCACAUAAUUAUCCAUAUUUGAUUUAUUUAAUGAUUUCUUGCAAAACAAUUUAUCAAUUUAGUCAAAAUAAUUAAUCAAUUAUCACAUAAGGAAACAAUUAUCUUAUUAAUUGAUAAAUAUCUUCAAUUAGAUCAAAAAUAUAGUCAAAUAUAUCAUAAAAUCGGAUUAAUAUUGAUCUAAUAUGAUAAGGUAACUAUCCAUAAGCAAAAACAGCAAGAAAUCCCGAAGUACCCUCCAUCUGACGAGUUGACUCGUCGAGUCAGGCUUGGACUCGUCGAGUCACCUUGGACUCGGCGAGUUCAGCUAUGGACUCGGCGAGUCCAGCCUCCAGAAACCCAAAAAACGAAUUUUCCAGAUAUACAAUGCAUCAAUACAAUUGAAACCAAGCUAGGCUCUGAUACCACUGAUGGGUUUUGGUCAUAAGACAUCCUAUGUGCUCAUACAAACCCUAAUGCUUGGAUCUAGGUUUCUCUAUUGUACAUGCUUUGAAUCCAAGACUAUAAACCCUAAUUCUAGCAUAUGGAAAUCAAUAUUAACAUAUAAUUAGGUUUAUGAUAUUAUCUUGAUUGUUAUGUAGCAAUAACAAUCCCAAUUCCUCAUUGAAUUGACUUUGGAAGGCUUAGAGUCACAAGUGUCACUCCUCUAAUGGUUCACAAACACCAUAAGCAAGUGGAGAAGGUAUAAAGAGAGAGGAGAGGUGUUAGAAUUCGUCUCUAGGACUUCUUGGGAAGGGUUGGACGAAUUCAUGAGCCUCAGGGGAUUUAUAUAGGUGUAAAGAUUAGGGUUUUAGUCCUUAUCCUUAUCUAGUUGCUUGCCCACCAAGCAACCAUAAGAUAAGUCUUAGAAACCCUUAUACUAGUCGAAUUCUAAGGCAUUAUCUCCUUAAAUUCGUUCACCCUAUAUUUAAGAUAAUCCUUACCUUAUUUUGUAACUAUCACAUAAUUACAAUUCAGCCCCUCUAGUUUAAUUAAUUACACUUGAUCACAAAAUUAAUUCUUAAUUAAUUAUUGUCAAUAUUAAUUAAACAAAUAUGAUUUCUCCUUUAAUAUAUUAUUCUUAUAACAUAUUAAUAAAUCAUAAUAACCUCUCUCUCUCUCUCUAUUUAUUUCUCCAAUCAAGUUGCUUUGGUAAAGUCAACCCAAAAGGACCAUGCACCAUCGGGUCAAGUACAUACCAAAAUAGUUAUGGACUUAGACACUAAUCCAACAAUAUGUAUCAUGCAAUUUUAGAGAAAUAAAUAUAUUUUGACUAAAUGAAUUUAUUUAAUUAUCUAGUUUAUAGACUAGGCUUACGAUUGUAUUUUAUAAAUAAAAGAUGAAUAUAAUUGUAUUAAGGUGUUUAUUAAGUAAUAUUUGAACUGUGAGCAAAGUAAAGAUUAUUUAUAUGGUUCUAGGAGUUCAGAGAUGUAGAAACCCAUCUUGGCCACUUUAGUGGUCUUUAUCCUAUGAUUGCUGCUUCAGGUGAGUUUUCCUCAUUGUCCUUAUGGGUCGAAGGUACCUAUGUCAGCUCAAUGGAUUAUGUAUCAUGGUAUAUUGGAUGAUGUUAUGCUGGCUAUAUGAUAGACUAGUAGAUUCGUAUGAUUACCUAUAUGUCCUGGUUACGUGUUAAACUGGUAGAUAUGUAUGAUUACAUGUACUUGUUGGUUAUUGAUUGUUAUUGUCUAUGUCAACAUGUUAUGGUUUGCUGGGUUGAGGUGGUCCUACUUUGUGUUGAAGGCCAAAAUACUCGGGGUAGUCCGGAUAGGUUGUAGGCCUGGUGAGUGGGUCCAGUCAGGACGAAUGUCUGGAGAGUGGUCCGGAUAAACUGAAGGCCUUAUGAAGCGGUCUAGUCAAAUCGAAGGCUCGAAGAGCGAUCUGGAUAGGGUGAAGGCCCUACAAGGCAGUCCAUUCAGGUCGAAGACUCGGAGAGCGGUCCAGAUAGGCUGUAGGCCAUGUGAGGCAGUCCAGUCAUGCUGAAGGCUCAUAUAUACAUGUUGUUAUCUUUUUGGCUGUGUAGGGAACUCACUAAGCUUUGACUUACAGUUUGAAUUUAUGGUUUUAGGUACUUCUGAGGAUAAUGGGAAGGUGAAGGCUUGAUCGUGCACAUCAUCCUAGUUUUUUGAGAUUAUGAUUUUGGGAUACUCUGAUUCAUG